CUCUUGAAACACGGACCGAGGAGUCUAAUGCUCAUGCAAGGAGAAGGGUUUCAUCCCUGUAUCCGCAAUGAAAGUGAUUUCUAGCAGGAGCCUUUUAGGUGCACUGCAGCCGUCUCUCUUGAGAAAGGCAAAGUAUGAGUGUUAGGACCCGAAAGAUGGUGAACUAUGCAUGUGUAAGCUGAAGCCAGGGGAAACUCUGGUGGAAGGCUGUUGAGAUUCUGACGUGCAAAUCGAUCCUCUAACAUGUGUAUAGGGGCGAAAGACUAAUCGAACCAUCUAGUAGCUGGUUCCYCCUGAAGUUUCUCUCAGGAUAGCUGGCACUAAAUUCUAAUUUCAUCUGGUAAAGCAAAUGAUAAGAGGUCUUGGGGUUCAAAGAACCUUAACCUAUUCUCAAACUUUAAAUGGGUGAGAAGCAUGAUAGGCUACAAUUGCUUUCAUGUCUCCCCUUGAAUAGAAGUGUGCCAUGUGGGUCACUUUUGGUAAGCAGAACUGACGCUGUGGGAUGAACCACACGCUGUGCUAAGGCGUGUGAUAACUUGCUCAUAAGAUCCCACAAAAGGUGUUAGUUGCUAUAGACAGCAGGACGGUGGCCAUGGAAGUUGGAAUCCGCUAAGGAGUGUGUGAUAACUCACCUGCCGUGGCAACUAGCCCUGAAAAUUCAUCACGCUAUAGCAAGUAGCCUAUGCACGGCCUCCAUGUAAAAUGCAUGCAUGGAGAGUAAGGGGGCGCAACAGUAGCGUUGAAGCAAUGCAGUGAUGUGUUGUUGAGCUGYUGUUGUUGCAGAUMUCGGUAGUAGUA
rnacentral:rRNA from 1 species